rnacentral:rRNA from 1 species
UACGAAGGGCGCAAGCGUUGCUCGGAAUCACUGGGCGUAAAGGGUGCGUAGGCGGGUCUUUAAGUCAGGGGUGAAAUCCUGGAGCUCAACUCCAGAACUGCCUUUGAUACUGAGGAUCUUGAGUCCGGGAGAGGUGAGUGGAACUGCGAGUGUAGAGGUGAAAUUCGUAGAUAUUCGCAAGAACACCAGUGGCGAAGGCGGCUCACUGGCCCGGUACUGACGCUGAGGCACGAAAGCGUGGGGAGCAAACAGG